GAUGAACGCUGGCGGCGUGCCUAAUACAUGCAAGUCGAGCGAACAGACGAGGAGCUUGCUCCUCUGACGUUAGCGGCGGACGGGUGAGUAACACGUGGAUAACCUACCUAUAAGACUGGGAUAACUUCGGGAAACCGGAGCUAAUACCGGAUAAUAUAUUGAACCGCAUGGUUCAAUAGUGAAAGACGGUUUUGCUGUCACUUAUAGAUGGAUCCGCGCCGCAUUAGCUAGUUGGUAAGGUAACGGCUUACCAAGGCAACGAUGCGUAGCCGACCUGAGAGGAUGAUCGGCCACACUGGAACUGAGACACGGUCCAGACUCCUACGGGAGGCAGCAGUAGGGAAUCUUCCACAAUGGGCGAAAGCCUGACGGAGCAACGCCGCGUGAGUGAUGAAGGUCUUCGGAUCGUAAAACUCUGUUAUUAGGGAAGAACAAAUGUGUAAGUAACUAUGCACGUCUUGACGGUACCUAAUCAGAAAGCCACGGCUAACUACGUG
rnacentral:rRNA from 1 species